CAACUAAACAGAGAUCCAGCAUGUUGGUUGUGGUUAACACAGUGACAACUAAACAGAGAUCCAACAUGUUGGUUGUGGUUAACACAGUGACAACUAAACAGAGAUCCAACAUGGUGGUUGUGGUUAACACAGUGACAACUAAACAGAGAUCCAACAUGUUGGUUGUGGUUAACACAGUGACAACUAAACAGAGAUCCAACAUGUUGGUUGUGGUUAACACAGUGACAACUAAACAUAGAUCCAGCAUGUUGGUUGUGGCUAAUACUGUAAUACUGUAUCUGAUAGAGCAGAUUCUGCAGGUAAAACAUUGUGUUUCUAUAUAGUACUGUAUCUGAAAGAGGUAAAACAUUGUGUUUCUAUAUAGUACUGUAUCUGAAAGAGCAGAUUCUGCAGGUAAAACAUUGUGUUUCUAUAUAGUACUGUAUCUGAAAGAGCAGAUUCUGUAGGUAAAACAUUGUGUUUCUAUAUAAUAC